rnacentral:rRNA from 1 species
CGCAACCCUAUGUUAGUUGCCAUCAUUCAGUUGGGCACUCUAGCGAGACUGCCGGUAAUAAACCGGAGGAAGGUGGGGAUGACGUCAAAUCAUCAUGCCCCUUAUGACCUGGGCUACACACGUGCUACAAUGGUUGGUACAACGAGUUGCGAGUCGGUGACGGCGAGCUAAUCUCUUAAAGCCAAUCUCAGUUCGGAUUGUAGGCUGCAACUCGCCUACAUGAAGUCGGAAUCGCUAGUAAUCGCGGAUCAGCACGCCGCGGUGAAUACGUUCCCGGGCCUU